AGCCCCCCUCAAGAUGAGAUUUCCCAAUUAGUAAGACCCCUGGAAGACGACCAGGUUGAUAGGUUCGAGGUGGAAGCGCAGCAAUGCGUGGAGCUGACGAAUACUAAUCGGUCGAGGGCUUAUCCUAAA
rnacentral:rRNA from 1 species